ensembl:lncRNA
CCACAUCAUCAAGUUUGCUGAUGACACGGCCGUGGUGGGUCUUAUAAGCAAAGGCGACGAAUCAGCGUACAGAGAGAAGGUGCUUCGGCUAGCGGAUUGGUGUCAACAACCUGUCCCUGAACGUGGACAAAACUAAAGAGAUGGUUGUUGAGUUUAGGAGAUCACAUACCAAUCACUCUCCACUGAACAUCGACGGCUCCUCUUUGGAGAUCGCAAAGAGCACCAAAUUCAUUGUUGUUCAUCUGACUUGAGAACUUCACCUGGUCUCUCAACACCAGCUCCAUAGCAAAGAAAGCUCAGCAGCCUCUUUACUUUUUAUGCAGACUGAAGAAAGCACAUCUCCCACCCCCCAUCCUCACCACAUUUUACAAAGGGACUGAGCACCUGCAUCACUACCUGGUUUGGGAAUUGCACCAUCACAGAUCGCAAGACCCUGCAGCGGAUCGUGAGGACAGCUGAAAAGAUCAUUGGAGUCUCUCUCCCCUCUAUCACAGACGUUUACACCACUCGCUGCAUUCCGAAAGCCAUCACGAUUACUAGCGACCCUACAAACCCCUCACACCAGCUCUUCACCCUUCUGCCAUCCAGAAGAAGCUACAGAAGCAUUCAGGCCCUCACGGUCAGAUAGUGUGACAGUUUCUUCCCUCGAGUCAUCAGACUCCUCAACUCCAUGAGAACUGACCUGACAACUACACUCACACAUGUACACCCCUACUAUAAAUACUUGAAUUACAAACACUUGGAACCCAACUGCAUACUUUGCAUGUCCGGACAUUUGCAUGAAUCUACCUCAAUAUUGUGCCUUGUCUAUUAAUAUUGUGACCUGUUCUAUGUAUAAAAAUAUGUAUAUGUUUAUAUAUGUAUAUAUACAUAUAUUGUAAUGUCCCAUUCAUGUUUCAUUCAGACAUGCAGACGCACUUUAUGUAGUCUGUACUUUGCUUUAUGUUCAACUUUUUUACUUUUACUUCUUCUUCUUCUUCUUCCAGUUUUAGUAUUAUGUUAGAUUAUUUAAGAUAAUUUAAUUAUGUAUAGUCCUUUGCAAAGUACAAUGUGAGUUUUGUAGUUAAUGUUGUCUUGUGUAGCACCAUGGUCCUGGAGAAACGCUGUUUCGUAGCUGUAUAGAGCUGAAAUGAUAAUAAAGCCUCUCUGACUUUGACUGACUUUUUUUUAUAAAUUGAGUUUUUCCUUCCGUUUUUAAAAAAAUUUCCGUCCACAUGAAAGUGCAAACGCAUGCUAUGAUGCACUGUAAAGAGCAGGUCAAACCAACAGGUGGCGAUAUAAUAUAUAUGUAACAUAUAAUCUCCACCCUAAAGCCAUGUUGGCCAAUCAGAAGCCUGAAAAAGUUUCCAGUAGGAGGAGAUAACAGCGCAUGCUCAAAUGUCACAAGCCAAAAUCUCCAGUUUCGCUGUCUACAUGAUAACACUGCAAACAGAGUUUCUGAAAAUCUUCUCCCUGGCAGGAGUUUUCAAAACAGUUUGAGUGACCUGGUUUUCAUUCCUGCUGUUCUGUUUCCCAGUGAUUGAUUGUGUUGGUCAGUUCAGCUGUGUCCUCAUUAGCUGACCCUCCUCACCUGUCUGUCCCUCAUUAGCACAGCUUUAGUUCUGGCCCGCUCAGUUGUCCCUCGUCCAUUGUUGUGAAUGCUGCUCCUGUGAUUCACCCUGUGUUGAUUUAUUAAAAGACAUGUUUUUCCUUCAUCUUCAUGAGAGAGUUUAUCUUGGACACACAUACUGUGACACAUAUAUAUUAAUAAAUUGGAGAUUGGUGCUAAAACAAAUCAUAUAAAGACAGUAAUGCUUGUUUUUUUUUCUAUUUCAGUAUAUAUUUUAUUUUAUAUUUUGAACGUUUUAUAUUAUAUUUUUUGAAUGUUUAAUAUAUUAUCAAUAUUUAUAUAUUGUGAAGUGGAGAUGGAGCAACAGCAAACACAUGAAAGCCGGUCUGAUGGUUUGCAUGUUUAUGUUUUUUUCGAGUUGCUCAUGAAAGCAGGAGGUUUGUUCUUCAAAGAGCGUGAGGAAGAUGAAAAGAUCCACAUGAAAGGAUGAAGGUCCAUCUGAAAGACCUCUGCUGGCGCUGUGUGAAGGACGCAUGGAGGACCGGUGUGUGAAGUGACCGGGGCUGAAGAGAGACGUCCAGAUGACAGCAGCUGCUCUUCGGGAAUCUCAGCAGUUCUGCUGCGCAUCGAGCUGCACGUCUCUACAUCCUCCUCCACGGAUUUCACUACUCCAUCCACCCACCAUCCAUCCAUUUUUGACUGGGCCCAGGAGGAUUAUGCUGUUCUUCACAGGACGAGAUCUCAGAGCGUGGGCAGGAGAGUCAGCAGCGAGCCCCUAAUGACACAGCGACACCCACACACGUCCAAAACCAAUUUUACCCUCACUAAAAGAACAGCCCUCGCACGUUCCCAUGCAUACAAAUGGCUGAUCGAUGGCGGUCAGCGACUCUCGGCCCUCUGAGAUAUAGUGAGCUCCAGAUCGAUGCCAAUGACAGGUGUUAGAACCACAGACCCCUCCAACAACAAUCCCUGGAAAUGUUGGUUUCCACUCGUCUCUCGUAAUCUCAUUAGGGACAUGAAUGGCUCCCUUUUGAAAGGCGCUGAUGCCGGAGAAGAGGAGGGCGGCAUGGAGAAUGAGUAUUGAAUUUGAGUAAUCCGGGAUGGAGGGCAGCGUUCCAUCUCUUGUGCUGGAGCUGCAGAUAAGGCGUCGUCUAUUGAGGGCUCGUCAGCGCUCACACUCAGAAGGUGUCUUGCAGAGUAAGGUGACCUGCUUUUGUACAGUCGUGCGUUUGUGAAAGAGUCACCCAUCAGAUAACAUGAUCACGAACGGUUCAAAAGAAAGCUGGAAGGUGCAUCUUUGUACCUUAUUCACAUCUAGAUGUACAUAUUAGACUACAUAUUAGCAGCUAAAGUGUACAUAUUAGUAUCUUUUGAAGGGGUUUCAGCUCAGGUUCACAUGAAGCGCAGUUGAUAUAAACCUUAUUUGACACAAACUGAAAUCAAAGAAUGAAAAACUGGUGUGACAUCUUUUCAUUUAAAAACCGGCCAAAAACAAAGUUCAUUUUCAAGUUUGAAACGCUCUGGCUGGUAAACACCCCUGAACUACCAUUGGUCCGUGCUGCUGAUGUAAUAAGUGGGCGUGGCUCUGGGGCUCCGCCUUCUUUGAUGUGGAAGCUUUCUCCGGUUCAUGUCUUCUGUUCAGCCCAUUAUGGAAGCCACAGAAUAAAAGAAAUAAAAAAGUAGCAGAAACAUACUUGUGAGACACAAACUGAGAACUGCUGGAUAUAAACUAUCCUGAGAAAAAAGUCUGAAUUGUGAGGGUUUUUUUAUCUUGGGGCAGAAACAAGCUUCCAUAGUCCAUCGAGUUCAGAUACCUGUAAAAACAUAACCUUUUUUUGAAGCUUUGAAUCAACUUAAUUUUUUGCUUUGCUAAAUGAUUAAUUUUUUCAAUGCACUUGAAAGCGCUUGUUUUGUUUGUUUUAUUGAGGUCUUGGUUAAUUAAUGCCUCAAUGCAUAUCAUUGAAAUUUUAUAACAUUUCAAAAUAUAUUACUUAAUGAAGCCUUUAUUACUGAAAUCACGUGACUUUGGCAGUUUGAUACACUCUCUGAAUCACAGGUUUGAAACAAACGAUUCGAAGCUUCACGAAGAGGCAUUUCUAAAACACACAUCACUAGAGGUCAGUUCAAAACACAAACACACUGCAGAGCUGCUUUACUGUAGAAACUCAAGGUGUAAUUCUAAAUAAAAGCUACACUGACACUAUUUAUCAUGUUUAAUAAUGUAAAGUGCUAUAUAAAUAAACAUAACAUGACUACAGCAACCAUCCAAAUUGCUAUGAUGCUUUCUUAACUGCUGUUUUCUCUCCACUCUCAUAUUGUUGUGUGCUUAUUUUGAGAGGAAAGCGCACAGCACAUAUUGACAUAUUCAUCGAGAUGUUUGCUAACAGUAAACGGCUCAUUUCCAGCUUCUUUUUACCUCUAAGGGAAGAGUGAUAAGAAGUUCGCCCUGAGCACAUCGGGCCUUCGGUAUCUGGUGGUAAUUGUGCUGCGGAUCCGUCUCAGAAAGUUUCACACAGAGUUGAGCAGCUCCUUUCUGCUGGAGAUGUGAGGCGCUGAGGGAGGAGGACAGCGUCAAUAGACAAAAAGGCAGGUGCUGCGACACAGCGAUUUCUCUGGCAGCAGGUUUUUUGGGAUGGAGGGAUGGAUCCUGUCAGCAUCUCACGUUGAUAAGAGCCGGCGGGCGCGUGAGAGACAUGUGGCAUCAGCAGAACCGGAACGCUGUGCUAUUCAUUAACGCACAUCACGCCAUUGUGUCUUCCUAUAUGUCCGUCUCCUGGUCAUUAAGUCAACCCUCGAUGUCAGAAAUGUCCAAUAUCUGCGGUCGGGUUUGUAACACGAGCUCCGGGUCUGAAUCACUGGAACAUAAUGAAAGUUUUCUGCUGUGUGUUUGCUGGAAAGCCAUAUAUACAUCCAUAAUGAAUGUCUCUGAGCAUCACGGUGGACAAUGAACCGCAUUAUUUUGCUUCGUUACUGGUGCGUCCGACAGACUGACGAUUAGCUGAGACUUCAUCUGCUCAGCCAAUCCACACUGAGCAUUGAUUCUAGUAUUAGACAUCAUAUGUGAUGCAUUAAAAAUGGAGCAGAAUUGGAACAAUUACCUGGAUGUAGUUGAUAUUCAGCAAAAUAGUUUCAGCAAAACUUUUCACGCAGCAGUAGUACUAGAACAAUCCUGAACACUGUUAAACUACAGCACGUCUUAAAUAGAGUUUGAGCUCUAGACAUGAACGACUCCUCAGAUCACGCGUGUGCUUUCACUCACGGUAAUGUUCAGAUCUAGUGUUCUCUUGUCACUGUGUUUGAUUGAAGUGCUUCCAGAUCGGUUUCUGCAAGUGUUUCAUAAUCUAUGCUGCCUGGCCAAAAAAAUGCACACCUUUUUCUUUUUGGUUUAAAAGACAAUUAAUAGUCUGUAUAUUAUUGACUGAGCUGCA